rfam:Mus musculus chromosome 4, GRC primary reference assembly.
GCAGAGAUGGCUCAGUGGUUAAGAGCACUGGCUGCUCUUCCAGAGAUCCCGAGUUCAAUUCCCAGCUACCUGCA